UCUAAUGGCCACACCACCUUGAAUGCUCCCAAUCUUGUCUGAUCUUGGAAGCUAAGCAGAGUUGGGCCAGGUUAAUUCUUGGAUGGGAGAAAUUAUAU
rnacentral:rRNA from 1 species